CCUACGGGAGGCUGCAGUGAGGAAUAUUGGUCAAUGGACGCAAGUCUGAACCAGCCAUGCCGCGUGCAGGAUGACGGCCCUAUGAGUUGUAAACUUCUUUUGUACGAGGAUAAACGCAGAUACGUGUAUCUGUCUGAAAGUAUCUUACGAAUAAGGAUCGGCUAACUCCGUGCCAGCAGCCGCGGUAAUACGGAGGAUUCAAGCGUUAUCCGGAUUUAUUGGGUUUAAAGGGUGCGUAGGCGGUCGGAUAAGUUAGAGGUGAAAGCCCGAGGCUCAACCUCGGAAUUGCCUCUGAUACUGUCAGGCUAGAGAGUAGUUGAGGUAGGCGGAAUGUAUGGUGUAGCGGUGAAAUGCUUAGAGAUCAUACAGAACACCGAUUGCGAAGGCAGCUUACCAGGCUACUACUGACGUUGAGGCACGAAAGCGUGGGGAGCAAACAGGAUUAGAUACCCGUGUAGUC
rnacentral:rRNA from 1 species